rnacentral:rRNA from 1 species
AGCCUGAUGCAGCCAUGCCGCGUGUGUGAAGAAGGCCUUCGGGUUGUAAAGCACUUCAGUAGGGAGGAAGGUUCAUGCGUUAAUAGCGUAUGGAUUUGACGUUACCUACAGAAGAAGCACCGGCUAACUCCGUGCCAGCAGCCGCGGUAAUACGGAGGGUGCGAGCGUUAAUCGGAAUUACUGGGCGUAAAGCGCAUGCAGGUGGUUUGUUAAGUCAGAUGUGAAAGCCCGGGGCUCAACCUCGGAAUUGCAUUUGAAACUGGCAGACUAGAGUACUGUAGAGGGGGGUAGAAUUUCAGGUGUAGCGGUGAAAUGCGUAGAGAUCUGAAGGAAUACCGGUGGCGAAGGCGGCCCCCUGGACAGAUACUGACACUCAGAUGCGAAAGCGUGGGGAGCAAACAGGAUUAGAUACCCUGGUAGUCCACGCCGUAAACGAUGUCUACUUGGAGGUUGUGGCCUUGAGCCGUGGCUUUCGGAGCUAACGCGUUAAGUAGACCGCCUG